rnacentral:rRNA from 1 species
AAUCAACGCUGGCGGCGUGCCUCAGACAUGCAAGUCGAACGAUUAAAGCUCUCUUCGGAGAGUGUAUAAAGUGGCGUACGGGUGAGUAACACGUAAGUAAUCUACCUUUUAGUGGGGAAUAACUUAAGGAAACUUAAGCUAAUACCGCAUAAUGCAAUAGUAUCUAUUGAUGCAAUUGUUAAAGAAUUUAUUCGCUAAAAGAGGAGCUUGCGGCAGAUUAGCUAGUUGGUAAGGUAAUGGCUUACCAAGGCUACGAUCUGUAGCCGACCUGAGAGGGUGGUCGGUCACACUGACACUGAAUAACGGGUCAG